rnacentral:lncRNA from 1 species
GUAGUAGUAGUGGUAUGGGUAGUAAUGGUAAUGAUAACAGUUUAGUGAUGGUGGUGGUAGUAGUAGUAGUGGUAUGGGUAGUAAUGGUAAUGAUAACAGUUUAGUGAUGGUAGUAGUAGUAGUAGUGGUAUGGGUAGUAAUGGUAAUGAUAGCAGUUUAGUGAUGGUAGUGGUAGUAGUAGUAGUGGUAUGGGUAGUAAUGGUAAUGAUAACAGUUUAGUGAUGUGGUGGUGGUAGUAGUAGUAGUGGUAUGGGUAGUAAUGGUAAUGAUAGCAGUUUAGUGAUGGUAGUGGUAGUAGUAGUAGUGGUAUGGGUAGUAAUGGUAAUGAUAACAGUUUAGUGAUGGUGGUGGUAGUAGUAGUAGUGGUAUGGGUAGUAAUGGUAAUGAUAACAGUUUAGUGAUGUGGUGGUAGUAGUAGUGGUAUGGGUAGUAAUGGUAAUGAUAACAGUUUAGUGAUGGUGGUAGUAGUAGUAGUGGUAUGGGUAGUAAUGGUAAUGAUAACAGUUUAGUGAUGGUGGUGGUAGUAGUAGUGGUAUGGGUAGUAAUGGUAAUGAUAGCAGUUUAGUGAUGGUGGUAGUAGUAGUAGUGGUAUGGGUAGUAAUGGUAAUGAUAGCAGUUUAGUGAUGGUAGUAGUAGUAGUAGUGGUAUGGGUAGUAAUGGUAAUGAUAACAGUUUAGUGGUGUGAUGGUGGUAGUAGUAGUAGUGGUAUGGGUGGUAAUGGUAAUGAUAACAGUUUAGUGAUGGUGGUGGUAGUAGUAGUAGUGGUAUGGGUAGUAAUGGUAAUGAUAACAGUUUAGUGAUGGUGGUGGUGGUAGUAGUAGUGGUAUGGGUAGUAAUGGUAAUGAUAGCAGUUUAGUGGUGGUAGUAGUGGUAGUAGUAGUAGUGGUAUGGGUAGUAAUGGUAAU